CAGUUGGACAUCCUCUGAAACCUAAGAUGCCAUUUUUCCGUGACUGCACCAUUGCUUCAAACAAGAAUCUCUGACUGACGUCGAGGUCUGACGCCCGGACUGCAUCUGGUGGGCGUUCAGCCUGAAGAAGUCAGCAGAGUCAGAGGGGCACCAAGUGGGAGCCAAACGAAGGUCAAGUGACGGUCAGAUGAAAGCAAAGCCUCAAAGAAGAUGCUGCCUUUUGCACAC